rnacentral:rRNA from 1 species
UACGGAGGGUGCAAGCAUUAAUCGGAAUUAUUGGGCGUAAAGGGCGCGUAGGCGGGGAUAAAAGUCAGAUGUGAAAUCCCGGGGCUCAACCCCGGAACAGCAUUUGAAACUUUAUUUCUUGAGGGUAGGCGGAGAAAACGGAAUUCCACAAGUAGCGGUGAAAUGCGUAGAUAUGUGGAAGGACACCGGUGGCGAAGGCGGUUUUCUAGCUUACUCCUGACGCUGAGGCGCGAAAGCAAGGGGAUCAAACAGG